rnacentral:rRNA from 1 species
AUUGAACGCUGGCGGCAGGCCUAACACAUGCAAGUCGAGCGGAUGAAGGGAGCUUGCUCCUGGAUUCAGCGGCGGACGGGUGAGUAAUGCCUAGGAAUCUGCCUGGUAGUGGGGGAUAACGUCCGGAAACGGGCGCUAAUACCGCAUACGUCCUGAGGGAGAAAGUGGGGGAUCUUCGGACCUCACGCUAUCAGAUGAGCCUAGGUCGGAUUAGCUAGUUGGUGGGGUAAAGGCCUACCAAGGCGACGAUCCGUAACUGGUCUGAGAGGAUGAUCAGUCACACUGGAACUGAGACACGGUCCAGACUCCUACGGGAGGCAGCAGUGGGGAAUAUUGGACAAUGGGCGAAAGCCUGAUCCAGCCAUGCCGCGUGUGUGAAGAAGGUCUUCAGAUUGUAAAGCACUUUAAGUUGGGAGGAAGGGCAGUAAGUUAAUACCUUGCUGUUUUGACGUUACCAACAGAAUAGGCACCGGCUAACUUCGUG